rnacentral:rRNA from 2 species
UUUAAAGAGAGUUUGAUCCUGGCUCAGGACGAACGCUGGCGGCGUGCCUAAUACAUGCAAGUCGAACGAACGGAGGAAGAGCUUGCUCUUCCAAAGUUAGUGGCGGACGGGUGAGUAACACGUGGGCAACCUGCCUGUAAGUUGGGGAUAACUCCGGGAAACCGGGGCUAAUACCGAAUGAU